UUGCUCUUAUGAAGUUAGCGGCGGACGGGUGUAGUAACACGUGGGUAACCUGCCCAUAAGACUGGGAUAACUCCGGGAAACCGGGGCUAAUACCGGAUAACAUUUUGAACCGCAUGGUUCGAAAUUGAAAGGCGGCUUCGGCUGUCACUUAUGGAUGGACCCGCGUCGCAUUAGCUAGUUGGUGAGGUAACGGCUCACCAAGGCAACGAUGCGUAGCCGACCUGAGAGGGUGAUCGGCCACACUGGGACUGAGACACGGCCCAGACUCCUACGGGAGGCAGCAGUAGGGAAUCUUCCGCAAUGGACGAAAGUCUGACGGAGCAACGCCGCGUGAGUGAUGAAGGCUUUCGGGUCGUAAAACUCUGUUGUUAGGGAAGAACAAGUGCUAGUUGAAUAAGCUGGCACCUUGACGGUACCUAACCAGAAAGCCACGGCUAACUACGUGCCAGCAGCCGCGGUAAUACGUAGGUGGCAAGCGUUAUCCGGAAUUAUUGGGCGUAAAGCGCGCGCAGGUGGUUUCUUAAGUCUGAUGUGAAAGCCCACGGCUCAACCGUGGAGGGUCAUUGGAAACUGGGAGACUUGAGUGCAGAAGAGGAAAGUGAAAUUCCAUGUGUAGC
rnacentral:rRNA from 2 species